UACGGGGGGGGCAAGCGUUGUUCGGAAUUACUGGGCGUAAGGGGCUCGUAGGCGGCCAACUAAGUCAUACGUGAAAUCCCUCGGCUUAACCGGGGAACUGCGUCUGAUACUGGAUGGCUUGAGUUCGGGAGAGGGAUGCGGAAUUCCAGGUGUAGCGGUGAAAUGCGUAGAUAUCUGGAGGAACACCGGUGGCGAAGGCGGCAUCCUGGACCGAUACUGACGCUGAGGAGCGAAAGCCAGGGGAGCAAACGGG
rnacentral:rRNA from 1 species